UAUUCAGCAUUUCACUGUGAGGUCUACUACACCUGUUGUAUUCAGCAUUUCACUGUAAGGUCUACGACACCUGUUGUAUUCAGCAUUUCACUGUGAGGUCUACUACACCUGUUGUAUUCAGCAUUUCACCGUGAGGUCUACUACACCUGUUGCAUUCAGCAUUUCACCGUGAGGUCUACUACACCUGUUGCAUUCAGAAUUUCACUGUAAGGUCUACUACACCUGUUGUAUUCAGCAUUUCACUGUGAGGUCUACUACACCUGUUGUAUUCAGCAUUUCACUGUGAGGUCUUCUCCACCUGUUGUAUUCAGCAUUUCACUGUAAGGUCUACCUACACCUGUUGUAUUCAGCAUUUCACUGUGAGGUCUACUACACCUGUUGUAUUCAGCAUUUCACUGUGAGGUCUACUACACCUGUUGUAUUCAGCAUUUCACUGUGAGGUCUACUACACCUGUUGUAUUCAGCAUUUCACUGUGAGGUCUACUACACCUGUUGUAUUCAGCAUUUCCCUGUAAGGUCUACCUAAACCUGUUGUAUUCAGCAUUUCACUGUGAGGUCUACUACACCUGUUGUAUUCAGCAUUUCACUGUGAGGUCUACUACACCUGUUGUAUUCAGCAUUUCACUGUAAGGUCUACUACACCUGUUGUAUUCAGCAUUUCACUGUGAGGUCUACUACACCUGUUGUAUUCAGCACACGUGACAAAUACACUUUGAUUUGAAUAAACAUAUGUCUUGAUUCCAUCAGUAGUCACACCCCAUGUUAAGAGUCCCCUUGGACAGUGAUUACAGCAGUGAGUCAUUCUGGGUAAUUUUCUAAGAGCUUUGGACACCUGGAUUGUACAAUAUUUGUAUAUUAUAUAUAUAUAUUUUUUUUUUUAAUUCUUCAAGUUCUGUCAAGUUGGUUGUUGAUCUUUGCUAGACGGCCAUGUUCAAGUCUCACCGUAGAUUCAAGCAGAUUUAAGCCACUUUUUUUUUUUUUUUUUUUACCUUUAUUUAACUAGGCAAGUCACUUAAGAACAAAUUAUUAUUUUCAAUGACGGCCUGGGAACAGUGGGUUAACUGCCUGUUCAGGGGCAGAACGACAGAUUUGUACCAGAUUUGUACCUUGUCAGCUCGGGGGUUUGAACUCGCAACCUUCCGGUUACUAGUCCAACGCUCUAACCACUAGGCUACGCUGCCGCACCUAACCUUGAACUAAAUCAGGAACAUCUGAUUUCAUCUGAACACUGUAUAUAUGUGACCUUUUUAAAUCAUUAUAAACAAUAACAUAUUCCAAGAAAGGGUUCAAACCUUCCUGAUAAACGCAGUAAUACAUUGAGAUGUCGUCACGUUUUGGGUGAUGACAGCUCCAAUACACCGAUACAAUACAUUGAGAUGUCGUCAUGUUUUGGGUGAUGACAGCUCCAAUACACCGAUAUAAUACAUUGAGAGGUCGUCAUGUUUUGGGUGAUGACAGCUCCAAUACACUGAUAUAAUACAUUGAGAGGUCGUCAUGUUUUGGGUGAUGACAGCUCCAAUACACCGAUAUAAUACA